rnacentral:rRNA from 1 species
AUUGAACGCUGGCGGCAUGCCUUACACAUGCAAGUCGAACGGCAGCACGGGAGCAAUCCUGGUGGCGAGUGGCGAACGGGUGAGUAAUAUAUCGGAACGUGCCCAGUCGUGGGGAUAACGUAGCGAAAGCUACGCUAAUACCGCAUACGAUCUAUGGAUGAAAGCGGGGGAUCGCAAGACCUCGCGCGAUUGGAGCGGCCGAUAUCAGAUUAGGUAGUUGGUGAGGUAAAGGCUCACCAAGCCGACGAUCUGUAGCUGGUCUGAGAGGACGACCAGCCACACUGGGACUGAGACACGGCCCAGACUCCUACGGGAGGCAGCAGUGGGGAAUUUUGGACAAUGGGCGCAAGCCUGAUCCAGCAAUGCCGCGUGCAGGAUGAAGGCCUCGGUUGUAACGUAG